rnacentral:lncRNA from 1 species
UUCGUUCCAUGCACGAAGCAGUUGCGCUCGACUUUCAUAAUAAUUGUCGGGGGUUCUCUCUUUGCACUGCCACUUCUUCUGCAAAAUAAAACCGAAGAAAACAAACUGGCACGAAAUAUGAAAUAAUGCUAUUAUACACAAAUCAAACAAUUAAUCAUUCAAUCUACAUCAUAGGGAUAAAAUAAUUUUCAACUACGCAGACAGCAUAUCACUUUUGUUCAUAAGUAUUAACUUUUUGGGCAUUUUUUUAAUCAUUGAUGAGGUAGUUUUAAGCAAUAUUCCAUUUUCAGAGAUCAAUUGCAUCUCAUAUUGUAUACAACUGUUGCCUUUAUUGUAUAGUGAACCUCAAAUAAACGAUACUGCAGCUUCGGGUCUAUAAUUAAUGUUCUUUUGGUAAUACACACCAAUUGCAAAGGGGGAAAUAGAGGUUUUCGCAACAUUGAUGUUUUCGGCUUUUACGCCAAACUAAUGAAUUACAAAGAACUACAUAUUGUAGCUUUAUUUGUUUACAUAUAUACGGUAUAUGCCACAGAAUGUUUCGAUAAGGAUGAG